UUCAUAACCUCCAGCAGCUAAGAUGCCCAGGUUAGGGAGGAGAGGUAGUUCUGACUGUUGAUGAGACUCAUAGUGAUAAAAGACUAUGAUCAUGGCAGUCUUAGACAUCUGCGAGGGUAGCAGAUCCUUUGAAAAUGGUUCAGCUCAGGCACCUAAUAGAUCCAGAACGUUUCCAGAGAGCACUUUGAACUUGCCUCAGCUAUUUGGUGGCAGUUGGAGGAAGAGCAGAAGUGAUCGAGGGAGCCCACCACCUGCUUUGAUUGGACAAUGUGACCUGUGAUACCUGGGGAGGGAAACUUUUGCUCUUUUAAUUACAUGGUAACUGCGGAAAACUUUUAGAAUUGGUUUUCACUAGCUGUGUUGAUAUGAUGUGUCCAAUAAACAUCUUCUCUGAGGAA